ensembl:lncRNA
UACAGGACAAAAUAGUUUUAUUACCGUCCUCCCAGUGUGUGUGCAUGUGUGUUUGUAGAAAACAAGAGGAAUCAUCAGCAUAACAUGGUACACCAACAAAAACUAAAGUCACGUCCAUAAAAAAUAGCUUUUCUUUUAAAUGGUUCCAGUAAAUAACAUGUUAAACAUGUAGCACUCUAUCUCAGAAAAAUAAAAGCAGGAUCUGACAGCAACGACAGGCCACAGGAACAACACGUCAUUAACAACCCCCAGCCCAUUGGUCAGGCCUGUCACAUGGUACAGAAUAUAUAGCAAAUUCAUAUGUUCAGAUUAUAUUUUGUGUCUAUAUACAGUGAAGAUUUCCACACAAACUGUGGACAGAAAACCUCUUUACAAUUAGGAGGCGCGUCAGCCAUCGGCUUCCGGAGCUUUCUGUCUGUCAUUCUGCUGCAAAGGAUCAUGGGUCAGUACUCUUUCUCUAAGUUUAAAUUGCUAGUUUUGCCCUCAAGACUAGAAAUUUAAACUGUGCAAUUAAGGCUCAAUAACCAAAGGAUGAAACCGCUCGACAGACGUGCAAAUGUUAAUUCAAAAUUGCAAAAUUAAAAAAAAGUAACUGAAUGACAGCAUUUAAAAAUUUUAAUUUUUGCAUAAUGUUAAACUUUUCUGGCAAGAAAGAUUUUAAGCUUAAAUUCUAGUUAUUUUCCACAAACCUUUGACAUAAGGAGGCAGUUGUUGUUAUAACAAAAAACUCUUCCCGGUGAAAACCAGAACCGUCAUCAUUUAAUUUCUCUUUUUACGCCUUUUUUUAAACUUUUAUUCUAUCUUUGUCAUUAUAACAAGAAGCUGCUCAUACUUCCCAGCAUGAAUGACCUAUUUCAUAUUUAAAUUACUAAAAAGUAAAGCAGAUACAUACAUAUGAUAACAGGAAGCAGAUUAUAAAUAUUAGUUAUAAAAAGAAAUCACUGUCUUAAAAGAGGCGUGAAUAUUUAUUCAUUUUUCAUGUUAUGUUUUGUCAUUGAACAAGUCAUACAUUAGAUGUAUUACCAUAUCAAAGUUACUAUAAUUCUAAACAGUGUUACAGUAAGACAAAGAUUCAUUAAGUUGCACUGAGCUGGUUUGCACACGAACAGUUUCUGAAGUGCAGCUGGACGGUACGCUCAAAUGCAGAAUGACCGGCAGCAAAGUCUGUCCAGGCUUUGGACGUCAACGUGAAAAACCCAAACAACUUUUGGUUUAUGAGAUGAAAACCACUGAGAAAACUCCAGGCCUCAAGUGAACAGACAGAAAGCUCAGGAACAACAGAUGUUCCUCACUGGAUUUAAGGAACGGCUUCCUUUAUAAAUGUCAAGAAACCAGAGCAGAAAAUCUAACUGAUGAUGUUUAUGAAGUGAAACUCAUCACCAAAUCCUGAGUACAUGUCCACAGACCGCCUCUGACUGCAGGAACCAGCCGGCUGUUUUGGCUUUCAAUCUUCGCAUGUUCAGAUCUCAGGAACCAACUCUACAGAAACCCUUUUCGGGGUAGGAACCGCUGAGUGGCUUCGAUUCUGAUUCUUUAAACCUGGAGAAAGCGCCCAAGAACUUUGUUAAGGCAGAUACCUUUACAACACUUUGCCCCUACAGUGAAAAGAUGCCUUAUGUAACUGGAGGCAGGGGUUUGCUUUGCCUCUUCCAUAACGUGCUUUCCUUUCAGUGAUUCACAUUCGAGAGAGACAGUUUAAGACUUCUGUGAAUUAAAGACGUCUGAAAAUAUUGUUUUAAGACUUAAAGGCCUGCAGGUGAAGUAUUUCCUCAAAUGUCACUUUGCAAGCAUCUUUCAUCUGCAUACAGGCAGCGUUUGCAAAGCAGACCCCUCGUCAAGUUCGCUCAGAUGGUGAUGAGUUUCAAAAACAGAAAUCUGGACAUUACCCAGAAUGCAAAGCAGUUUCUAAUCGAUAUAAAGACAUUCGUCAUGUUCUGCUGGUGAGAGAAAGGUUAGCUUGAAGUUAAACAUGUCAGACUCAAACCCUGCGUCCAAAACUCAAUACACAAAGUUAUAAAUGGCUUAUUUUUCAUCAUCAUGCUCUGAAAGAAAGAUACACAACAGGUAGUAUCUUUUUUCUUUCUUUCUUUUUUUAAAUGAGGAUGCAUCUUUCUUCUGCUGCAGCUGAAAUCUUUAAGGCUUCAUCACUCUUUAAAUCUUAUACGCAAUAUAAACACAUUAUCUCUGAUAGAAAAAUAGAGUCAUGCUGUAAAGAGAGAACAGUCGAACACGAUGGCUUGGUGCUGCGUUUACGUCGCCGCAAAGGCUGGGAAAUCCCGCCGUCAGGGACCGAUCUGAGGCUGAAUUCAGAGGAGCUGAUGAAGGAUGGUUCCAGCUUGGAUCAGGUAGAGAAAACUAGAACCUCUAUCUUGAAUCAGAUUUUUUGUUCCUUUUUAAACUUCACAUUGUAAAAAAAAUUAAGUAGUAAAGAAAGAUGUUUCAGGUAUUUAACGAGUUGCAGAAUAACCUCAGUGAAGGUGGAAACACUGAAUACGAGCUUCACUCAGUCCCUGACGCUCCAGCUGUGUGUGUGUGUGUGUGUGUGUGCGCGUGUGUGCUUGCACAGCUAUCUUUGUGGGAACCAAAUAGAGGGUCAACCUUGUGAGGACCCACCUUUGAAAGGUUGGGUAGUCGGGCUUUUCCUCUCAUCUAUGAACCAUCUGUCCAAAUCCAGAGCGCCCCUGUCCUCAGCCUGAACCUCACUGCAGACACUGCACUGCUCUUAGCUCAACCAACCUUGAACCUAAAAGCUUAGAUACUUGAUACUUGCUGCCAUUACAUUUGACUGUAAACAAAGACACAUUUUUCCAUUAAAAAUAAUCCAAAAAGUGCCAACAGCACACACAAGACAGGUCCAGUUCUACGACUAGCAGAGGGGAACAUCUGUCAAAUCAAAACAAAUUACAUUUUUCACAAUAAUAUUUUGUAGGGUGCAAAUAGGGCUGGGCCAUAUUAUACCGUUCACGGUAAUACUGGUAUAAUGUUAGGCAACGAUAGGAAAAUGAAAUAUCGCGAUAGAAUGGGAGUAAAACGCGCAUGCGCAGUGCCUUUGUUUUCAUACGCACAUGGCCGAUUGUUGAGUGAAACAGAUGAACCAGAAUUGGUUUGUAAAAAUGGUGCAACUUCAGUGAUGUGGAACUGGUUUGGUGUUUGUCCGUCAGAUACACGACAAAGCACAUUUUUUUUGCAGAACAUGCAAGCGGCCGUCGGACUAAGAUGCCCUUAAAUCUGGGAGUAAUCUGGGUCCUAAACUCCGUAUACUUCAGGUCAAACAACACUGCAGCAUCACUGAGAGUUAAAAACUGUCUAAAU